rnacentral:rRNA from 1 species
GACGAACGCUGGCGGCGUGCUUAACACAUGCAAGUCGAACGGAAAGGCCCUGCUUUUGUGGGGUGCUCGAGUGGCGAACGGGUGAGUAACACGUGAGUAACCUGCCCUUGACUUUGGGAUAACUUCAGGAAACUGGGGCUAAUACCGGAUAGGAGCUCCUGCUGCAUGGUGGGGGUUGGAAAGUUUCGGCGGUUGGGGAUGGACUCGCGGCUUAUCAGCUUGCUGGUGGGGUAGUGGCUUACCAAGGCUUUGACGGGUAGCCGGCCUGAGAGGGUGACCGGCCACAUUGGGACUGAGAUACGGCCCAGACUCCUACGGGAGGCAGCAGUGGGGAACAUUGCACAAUGGGCGGAAGCCUGAUGCAGCAACGCCGCGUGCGGGAUGACGGCCUUCGGGUUGUAAACCGCUUUCGCCUGUGACGAAGCGUGAGUGACGGUAAUGGGUAAAGAAGCACCGGCUAACUACGUG